rnacentral:rRNA from 1 species
GUUUCCUACGGGAGGCAGCAGUGAGGAAUAUUGGUCAAUGGGCGGGAGCCUGAACCAGCCAAGCCGCGUGAGGGAAGAAGGUACAGCGUAUCGUAAACCUCUUUUGUCAGGGAACAAAGGCGGGGACUAGUCCCCGGAUGAGGGUACCUGAAGAAAGAGCAUCGGCUAACUCCGUGCCGGCAGCCGCGGUAAUACGGAGGAUUCGUGCGUUAUCCGGAUUUAUUGGGUUUAAAGGGUGUGCAGGCGGCCUGUUAAGUCA